GCUCAGUUGGUUAAGUGUCUGAUUCUUGAUUUUGGCUCAGGUCAUUAUCUCAUGGUUCGUGGGUUCAAGCCCCACAUUGGGCU
rnacentral:tRNA from 1 species